rnacentral:rRNA from 1 species
UGGGGAAUUUUGGACAAUGGGCGAAAGCCUGAUCCAGCAAUGCCGCGUGUGUGAAGAAGGCCUUCGGGUUGUAAAGCACUUUUGUCCGGAAAGAAAUGGCUCUGGUUAAUACCUGGGGUCGAUGACGGUACCGGAAGAAUAAGGACCGGCUAAUUACGUGCCAGCAGCCGCGGUAAUUCGUAGGGUCCAAGCGUUAAUCGGAAUUACUGGGCGUAAAGCGUGCGCAGGCGCUUGUGCAAGACCGAUGUGAAAUCCCCGAGCUUAACUUGGGAAUUGCAUUGGGGACUUGCCGGCUAGAGUGUGUCAGAGGGAGGUAGAAUUCCACGUGUAGCAGUGAAAUGCGUAGAGAUGUGGAGGAAUACCGAUGGCGAAGGAAGCGCCCUGGGAUAACACUGACGCUCAUGCACGAAAGCGUGGGGAGCGAACAGG